rnacentral:rRNA from 1 species
CCCUUAGAUGUUCUGGGCCGCACGCGCGCUACACUGAUGCAUGCAACAAGUUCUAUCCUUGGCCGGAAGGCCUGGGUAAUCUGUGAACGUGCAUCGUGAUAGGGAUAGAUUAUUGCAAUUAUUAAUCUUGAACGAGGAAUUCCUAGUAAACGCAAGUCAUCAGCUUGCAUUGAUUACGUCCCUGCCCUUUGUACACACCGCCCGUCGCACCUACCGAUCGAAGGUAAUGAUGAGCCCUCAGGAUUGUGGCCUCGUCGCGUCAGCGUCUUGGCUGCGAGAAUCUGUGCAAAUCCCUACCUUUAGAGGAAGGUGAAGUCGUAACA